rnacentral:rRNA from 1 species
UACGGGGGGGGGCAAGCGUUGUUCGGAAUUACUGGGCGUAAAGGGCUCGUAGGCGGCCAACUAAGUCAGACGUGAAAUCCCUCGGCUUAACCGGGGAACUGCGUCUGAUACUGGAUGGCUUGAGUUUGGGAGAGGGAUGCGGAAUUCCCGGUGUAGCGGUGAAAUGCGCAGAUAUCGGGAGGAACACCAGUAGCGAAGGCGGCACUCUGGGCCGGUACUGACGCUGAGGAGCGAAAGCGUGGGGAGCAAACAGG